UACGUAGGUGGCGAGCGUUGUCCGGAUUUACUGGGCGUAAAGAGCGCGCAGGCGGUCGUACAAGUCGCGUGUGAAAGCCCCCAGCUCAACUGGGGAGGGUCACGCGAUACUGUUCGACUGGAAGGCAGGAGAGGGAAGUGGAAUUCCCGGUGUAGUGGUGAAAUGCGUAGAUAUCGGGAGGAACACCAGUGGCGAAGGCGACUUCCUGGCCUGUUCUUGACGCUGAGGCGCGAAAGCUAGGGUAGCAAACGGG
rnacentral:rRNA from 1 species